rnacentral:rRNA from 1 species
UACGUAGGUGGCGAGCGUUGUCCGGAUUUACUGGGCGUAAAGGGAGCGUAGGCGGACUUUUAAGUGAGAUGUGAAAUACUCGGGCUCAACUUGAGUGCUGCAUUUCAAACUGGAAGUCUAGAGUGCAGGAGAGGAGAAUGGAAUUCCUAGUGUAGCGGUGAAAUGCGUAGAGAUUAGGAAGAACACCAGUGGCGAAGGCGAUUCUCUGGACUGUAACUGACGCUGAGGCGCGAAAGCGUGGGGAGCAAACAGG